rnacentral:rRNA from 1 species
UACAAUUGCUGGAGAUUGCGAUUACAUCAAGAUCGAAAGCGCCGUAAUGUGAGUGGCAAACGGGUGAGUAACGCGUGGGAAUCUACCUUAUAGUACGGGAUAGCCUCGGGAAACUGGGAUUAAUACCGUAUACUCCCUUCGGGGGAAAGAUUUAUCGCUAUAAGAUGAGCCCGCGUCAGAUUAGCUAGUUGGUGGGGUAAAAGCCUACCAAGGCAACGAUCUGUAGCUGGUCUGAGAGGACGAUCAGCCACACUGGGACUGAGACACGGCCCAGACUCCUACGGGAGGCAGCAGUGGGGAAUAUUGGACAAUGGACGCAAGUCUGAUCCAGCAAUGCCGCGUGAAUGAUGAAGGCCUUAGGGUUGUAAAGUUCUUUUAGUGGGGAAGAUAAUGACGGUACCCACAGAAAAAGCACCGGCUAACUUCGUGCCAGCCGCCGCCGUAA